rnacentral:rRNA from 1 species
GAUGAACGCUGGCGGCGUGCCUAAUACAUGCAAGUCGAACGAAACUUCUUUAUCACCGAGUGCUUGCACUCACCGAUAAAGAGUUGAGUGGCGAACGGGUGAGUAACACGUGGGCAACCUGCCCAAAAGAGGGGAAUAACACUUGGAAACAGGUGCUAAUACCGCAUAACCAUAGUUACCGCAUGGUAACUAUGUAAAAGGUGGCUAUACUACCGCUUUUGGAUGGGCCCGCGGCGCAUUAGCUAGUUGGUAGGGUAAAGGCUUACCAAGGCAAUGAUGCGUAGCCGAAUUGAGAGGUUGAUCGGCCACAUUGGGACUGAGACACGGCCCAAACUCCUACGGGAGGCAGCAGUAGGGAAUCUUCCACAAUGGGCGAAAGCCUGAUGGAGCAACGCCGCGUGGGUGAAGAAGGUCUUCGGAUCGUAAAACCCUGUUGUUAGAGAAGAAAGUGCGUGAGAGUAACUGUUCACGUUUCGACGGUAUCUAACCAGAAAGCCACGGCUAACUACGUG